UCAAUAUCUACAUUAUCUGAGGUUUGUGUUACAGUAAUAUGAGAUCUUAAAUGUAGGGAGCCGUCCCUGCAUUCUCCAUUACAAGAUGGCGCCUGCAUCCGGCAGGCACCGAAUGUAAACAAGAUUAUUGUGCAGGCGCUGGGUAAAUUUCCAUUCCUUGAUCUCUGCCUAUUCCGUGGCGUCAUAUGGCCGGAUGAGCUGCAGCCAAUCAUGGGGUGACAUGUCCAAGGCGGCGGUUGCCCUCCUUUAUUAGGGGAUGGGCUUCUUGGUUCAGGGUCUCCGCUCUGGUAAGCUUAUGCUCUCCUCUCAAGACGCAUUAAAGCUUUCCUGCAGAAGGAUCCGAGUGUCCCGUGUAUGAUUUCUUGCUGGCGAGAAAUACAGAGAGCGCGCGGGACAUAUGGUGCUGAAACCCGGGAACAUGUGAACAUUUCCAGCACCUCGGAGACCCCUCUUACAAGGCGGAUUCAGAACUGCAGGGUGGUAAAUUCGGAGAGGAUGAAGAGAAUCCCCUGUGGAUCCCGGAAAGACUCACCCGAAGAGCCUCUUUGGACCCUCAAAAGUCGGAACUCCACCCUCUCCCCGGGAGUUGAGAGCCGCUAUUAUCCAGAUUAACUCCUGUCCUUGACGGAGGGACUGUCAUCAUGGAUUGCUUCAGCUGUCUCCUAUUUUAAGAAAAUGGGUAGAGGUGGGAUUGUUUGGUGCAGCCGUUUGCUGCGGAUUGAUGUUGCUUCUCUGGCUGGUCUGUAAGCUCAGGGCUCAAACUAAGAGAGACAAGGUGGUUAUCGCCCAAGCGCUUGUAGCUUUGGAACAAGGAAGCAAUAGGCCGCUGGCCAGACAGCUCUUGCACACCCGGAGCCUGGGCUCAUUGCACAGGGUAGAGUGCCUGGCUUGAGCAGCCCAUGAGGGAUGCUGAGCAUAGGCAUCGCACAGAGUUGCCUAUUAUACAGGCUUCUCUGGGAGGUACGUUGUCCUGCAUAAGGGUUGCCUGCCCUAGUCUCCCUUUCCCAGAAAAACGGCAGAGGACAGGUCGAGAGUGCUUCGGGUCAAGCUAACAGCCUAGUCGCGACUCCCGUACACAGUCUUAAUGUUUGAUUUUGGGAAGGUUCAACCUCUGCCUCUAUCCCUCAACAUAUGGGUGACCUAUUUGCUUGUAAAAAUAUAAAGCCUUAUCAUUAAUUAAUAAAAAAAGGGGGAUCUGUAGGGAGCCGUCCCUG
rnacentral:lncRNA from 1 species